CUCUGAUUGGCUGGCCGGAGGCGGAGCGAUUGUCAGGCGGCCCAAUCGGAGCGUGGUUUCCCACGGGCUCCCGCGGCCCCGCCCCCACGGCCUCCGGUGGAGGCUCCCUGGCAGCUCCCAUUGGCUGCCGGCGAGCGGUCCAGAGCUCGGCGGGGCACAUCUGCGCCGCCGCCGUCGGGCGCUCAGCUCUGCAGCGCGGAGAUCGCUUUGGAGCUCUCAGCUCCAGGGCCCCAGCGGCCCCGCAUUGUGCCCGGCGCGGGCGCGGGCGCGGGGAUCUGGGGCGGGCUUUGCAGAGCGCAUUUCCUGGAGGUUCUGCUUCUCAGCCACAGAUGGAAAAGAUGGAAUAUCUCUUCCUAGCUCCUAACCUAGCUGUCUCAGUCCAUUCAGGCCACUGUAAUAAAGUACCAGAAACCAGGUUGCUAGUUGAUGGCUGCAUUCCAGAUGUUAACACUGUCAGAAGCUUGACUUCCAUGUGUGCUGGGAAUCGAACUCAGGACCUUGAAUUUGCAAGGUAUUAUGACAAGUACUGGAGAAGGCUUAUGAUCGCCCAGUGGAUGAGACAUGUAUCCGUGCAUACAUGGAUCUGUGCAUACAUGAAGACAGGACUGUAAGGCAGAAGGAGAAGUAUGCAAAACUUAGAAGAGAAAUGCCUGUUGUGUUAGGAUCUGCAGAGGAGAUCUUUUCUCCUGAUCACUGCCAUAAAUAUUUGAAGAUGAGAUCGGGGGGGUCCUCAAAUUAUUGUCUGCGGACCAAAUCCUGCAGGCUUUCUGGUUUUGUGCAAUCAUUGAAAUACAAAUACUUUUUAUAUUUUUAAAUGGCUGAGAAUUAAAAAAACCCCACAAGGGCAAUAUAGUCAUGUGCCACAAACCAUGUUUCAGUCAGUAAUGGGUCAUACAUUGUUCAGUGGCCCCAUAUAAGAUUUCGUUGUCUGCGAUGUUGUAGCUGGUUUAGUUUGUAUACAUACAUUCUAUGAUGUUUGUACAACGAUGAAGUAGCCUAACGAUGAGUUUCUCAAAAUGUAUCCCCCUCAUUAAGUGAUACACAGCUGUAAUAAUUUGUGCCCUGUGAAAAU
rnacentral:lncRNA from 1 species